GACGAACGCUGGCGGCGUGCUUAACACAUGCAAGUCGAACGGAAAGGCCCCUUUGGGGGUCCUCGAGUGGCGAACGGGUGAGUAACACGUGAGUAACCUGCCCUUGACUUCGGGAUAACUUCAGGAAACUGGGGCUAAUACCGGAUAGGAAUCCUUGCUGCAUGGUGGGGGGUGGAAAGCUUCGGCGGUUGUGGAUGGACUCGCGGCUUAUCAGCUUGUUGGUGGGGGAGUGGCUUACCAAGGCUUUGACGGGUAGCCGGCCGGAGAGGGCGACCGGCCACAUUUGGACUGAGGUACGGCCCCGACUCCCACGGGAGGCAGCCGUUGGGAAUAUUGCCCCAUGGGCGGAAGCCUGAUUCCGCCACGCCGCGUGCGGGAUGACGGCCUUCGGGUUGUAAACCGCUUUCCGCAGGGGCGAAGCUUGUGGUGACGGUACCUGCAGAAGAAGCACCGGCUAACUACGUG
rnacentral:rRNA from 1 species